rnacentral:rRNA from 1 species
UGGGGAAUAUUGCACAAUGGGCGCAAGCCUGAUGCAGCCAUGCCGCGUGUGUGAAGAAGGCCUUCGGGUUGUAAAGCACUUUCAGCGAGGAGGAAGGUGGUGAGCUUAAUACGCUCAUCAAUUGACGUUACUCGCAGAAGAAGCACCGGCUAACUCCGUGCCAGCAGCCGCGGUAAUACGGAGGGUGCAAGCGUUAAUCGGAAUUACUGGGCGUAAAGCGCACGCAGGCGGUUUGUUAAGUCAGAUGUGAAAUCCCCGGGCUCAACCUGGGAACUGCAUUUGAAACUGGCAAGCUAGAGUCUCGUAGAGGGGGGUAGAAUUCCAGGUGUAGCGGUGAAAUGCGUAGAGAUCUGGAGGAAUACCGGUGGCGAAGGCGGCCCCCUGGACGAAGACUGACGCUCAGGUGCGAAAGCGUGGGGCAGCAAACAGGAUUAGAUACCCUGGUAGUCCACGCUGUAAAACGAUGUCGAUUUUGGAGGUUGUGCCCUUGAGGCGUGGCUUCCGGAGCUAACGCGUUAAAUCGACCGCCUGGGGAGUACGGCCGCAAGGUUAAAACUUAAAUGAAUUGACGGGGUC